CAGCCUCCAUCGUGAUCUAGAGUGGCCCCAGCGAUCAAUAUAGAGGCGUAUAGCCUCGUGGUAGGCGAUUUGCUCAAGUAGUUCCGGAUCUGUUGCGGGGACGGUUUGGGCGAAGACCCCCUGGCACCAACCUUGGUCAUCUCGAAGGAUUCCUUCAACAGAGCCUGUGCAUUCACCCGCAACCAGUGACACGUCAACAUUGAGCUUCAUGGUGCCAGCGGAUGGAGGACACCACUGCGAAGUGGUUGCCGUCGGAAAAUAUAUGCAUUCCAAGCCUUCCAAAUCUGCCAAAGGAUGUGGGCAAUGAGGGCUCCAGAUGGGGUUCGUUGGGGUGAUGCUGGGGCUAGCGCUGCGACAAGCCAGUCUUUAAUACAGGCAAGGCUGUAGGAAUUGAUAGUCACUGAAGCUUGCUGAUCGUUCCAUACUUUUUCUGUCCAAGGGCAAAGGAGAAACAAAUGCUCAAGCGUCUCGGAAUGCUGGCGAUAGAGGGUACAUAUUGAUUUAGGUAAGAUGUGUCUCCGCAUUAGAUUAUCUGCUGUAUGUACGGCGUUUUGACCAAUGUGCCAUAGGAAGUGUUUGAUCUUUAGGGGCACCUACAGUCGCCAAAUAUAGCGCCAUAGCUGUCGGGGCCGUUGAUAAGAAGAAGAUGGGUCAUGGGGUGUCCUGCAGGGGGAUGUGUGUAAAAGUUGUGCAUAGGCCAAUUUAACAGAAUUAUUACCAGUGGGGUGUGGUGCCCAUAUUAGCUGAUCUGCAGGUCUAAGGGGGUUGAGUGGAAUGGCUGAGUAUUUCGUCUACCACUUGAGUAGGGAAGUAAGUUCGCGCUAGUGUUCGUUCCACUGCAUAGAAGGUCUAAU